GGUCCGUUCGUCUAUCGGUUAGGACAUCAGGUUUUCAACCUGAGAAGAGGGGUUCGACUCCCCUACGGACUG
rnacentral:tRNA from 2 species